rnacentral:rRNA from 1 species
UAGACAUGCAAGUCGAACGCUUCUUUCCUCCCGAGUGCUUGCACUCAAUUGGAAAGAGGAGUGGCGGACGGGUGAGUAACACGUGGGUAACCUACCCAUCAGAGGGGGAUAACACUUGGAAACAGGUGCUAAUACCGCAUAACAGUUUAUGCCGCAUGGCAUAAGAGUGAAAGGCGCUUUCGGGUGUCGCUGAUGGAUGGACCCGCGGUGCAUUAGCUAGUUGGUGAGGUAACGGCUCACCAAGGCCACGAUGCAUAGCCGACCUGAGAGGGUGAUCGGCCACACUGGGACUGAGACACGGCCCAGACUCCUACGGGAGGCAGCAGUAGGGAAUCUUCGGCAAUGGACGAAAGUCUGACCGAGCAACGCCGCGUGAGUGAAGAAGGUUUUCGGAUCGUAAAACUCUGUUGUUAGAGAAGAACAAGGACGUUAGUAACUGAACGUCCCCUGACGGUAUCUAACCAGAAAGCCACGGCUAACUACGUGCCAGCAGCCGCGGUAAUACGUAGGUGGCAAGCGUUGUCCGGAUUUAUUGGGCGUAAAGCGAGCGCAGGCGGUUUCUUAAGUCUGAUGUGAAAGCCCCCGGCUCAACCGGGGAGGGUCAUUGGAAACUGGGAGACUUGAGUGCAGAAGAGGAGAGUGGAAUUCCAUGUGUAGCGGUGAAAUGCGUAGAUAUAUGGAGGAACACCAGUGGCGAAAGCGGCUCUCUGGUCUGUAACUGACGCUGAAGCUCGAAAGCGUGGGGAGCAAACAGAUUAGAUACCCUGGUAGUCCACGCCGUAACGAUGAGUGCUAAGUGUUGGAGGGUUUCCGCCCUUCAGUGCUGCAGCAA